rnacentral:rRNA from 1 species
AACUCCCUAAACCAUUGUGAACGUUACCUAAACCGUUGCUUCGGCGGGCGGCCCCGGGGUCAUCCCCGGGCGCCCCUGGGCCCCAUCGCGGGCGCCCGCCGGAGGUCACCAAACUCUUGAUAAUUUAUGGCCUCUCUGAGUCUUCUGUACUGAAUAAGUCAAAACUUUCAACAACGGAUCUCUUGGUUCUGGCAUCGAUGAAGAACGCAGCGAAAUGCGAUAAGUAAUGUGAAUUGCAGAAUUCAGUGAAUCAUCGAAUCUUUGAACGCACAUUGCGCCCGCCAGUAUUCUGGCGGGCAUGCCUGUUCGAGCGUCAUUUCAACCAUCAAGCCCCCGGCUUGUGUUGGGGACCUGCGGCUGCCGCAGGCCCUGAAAAGCAGUGGCGGGCUCGCUGUCACACCGAGCGUAGUAGCAUACAUCUCGCUCUGGGCGUGCUGCGGGUUCCGGCCGUUAAACCACCUUCAUAACCCAAGGUUGACCUCGGAUCAGGUAGGAAGACCCGCUGAACUUAAGCAUAUCAAUAAGCGGAGGAA